CAGAGACCUCAAGCGUUAUCCGGAAUCAUUGGGCGUAAAGCGUACCGACAGGUGGUUGUAUAAGUCAGAAGUGAAAUCUCCGAGCUCAACUCGGAAUCUGUCUUUUGAAACUAUACAACUAGAGGGGCAAAGAGGAAGCUGGAACGAACGGUGUAGUAGUGAAAUGCGUUGAUAUCGUUCGGAACACCAAUAGCGUAGGCAGGCUUCUGGGUGCCACCUGACACUGCUAGGACGAAAGCGUGGGGAGCGAAUGGGAUUAGAUACCCCAGUAGUCCACGCUGUAAACGAUGCACGUUAGGUGCUAGGGAGUAUCGACCCUCUUUAGUACCAUAGCUAACGCGUUAAACGUGCCGCCUGGGGAGUACGGCCGCAAGGCUA
rnacentral:rRNA from 1 species